AGAAUCAGCCAACAGCAUCAACAGUAAUAAUAAUAGCUGGCCAUCGCUGAGCACUUUCUCAUGUAGGGUAAGCCACCAUGCUGAGUAUUUAAUGCACAUGAGCUGAUUUAAUCAGCUAUCAAUGCUAUGAGGGAGAUAGCUCUCAUCAUCCCCUCACACUGAUGAAGAAAAUGAGACACAGAGAAGUGAAGCUACUUGUCCAUAAUCAGACAGUUUCCAAGUAGUGGUUUGGGGCCAGUAUGUCUGCUCUUCAUCCUUGUACUAAAAUGCCUCCAGGCUAGAAAGUUCUGGAGAGCCAUCAAACAUUGCUCCUGCACAGGGGAAACAAAGUUGUCUGAGAAAAAAUUCAGGACAGAGGGAAGUGGAAAUGAGCAGGUCAGAUGUUCUUGUGACAUCACUGAGACUUGAAGCUGGCUCAGGUGUUCUUGUGACAUCACUGAGACUUGAAGCUGGCACCAUGGGUUUUUAAGAUGCAUGAGUCAAUGUACUGACUUUUUUGUUUAAGCCACUUUGAGUUAGGCUUUCUCUACCUUGUGAGCAUCUAAGUCUCUCUCAGAAGGGGUCUGGUCUGGAGGAGGAUGUGACAGUGGCUGCCGUAUCCACUGGUCCUCAGAUGGAGGUGGAGGGUGCCUGAACUGCGAUCCACAGUUGCCACAGAAUUUUAUCAGCAUGGGGAAAGCAAGCGUGCUUCUUGUAAGCUUACCGUUCACCCCACAGAGAGCUAGGGUCUGAAAUGCCCCAAAACGAACCCUCAAAAAUCUACCUGCCCUUAUCUCUAUGAUGUUUAACAUCACUGACCAAUAUCACCACCUGGAUUUGAGGGUCUAAAUCAUGAGUAGAAUCAGGAUGUGCCUUUCUGGCCAGAUGGCCCAGGGCAGGAUUGGGAAGCUGAUAAUGAGAAAGCUUUCGACUAGAUUAUCUUUCAGAUUCCCUGUGAUAACUCAGAUCCCAAAUCCCUUUGAUCCCCAAAUCUUGAGAGCUCUGUUUGCUCCACCUGAUUGCUUCCAUGAACUGUCCACUUUGGACUAAGACUUGUACUUCUUCCCAUCUUCUUGGAACACAAAAUUAAUUUUCUAUACCCAAUUUUCAACCAAAUUCCAUUUUCUAGCUUUCCGGCAACUUCCAUCCAGGUUAGUCAUUUAGCCUGUUGGUUUCAGGUCUCCUCUUUAAAAGAGAGAAAAAAAUGAUCCCCCAUGCUUCACAGGAGGAUUGUGAGAAUUAAUUAAUGUUUGUAAAGGGUUUUCCAUCCUGUAAUGUCUUUGAUAUCAGAGGAUGAAAGAGUGUGAGCGGUGGUGAUGAGGACCUGGUUCAGGAGGGAAAAAGAGAGAACAAUUCUCUGUUCGUUUUAGUGCUCAUCCAUGCUGUUCUGACGCUUAACAAACUCCUUUUAAGUUAUUCCAAGUUAAAUGGAUGCAUGUCAAUCCUAUUGCUUUGAUGAAGCCAUCCAAAUAAAAAUAAAAAUUCAAAACACUUUUGUACAAACCGAAUGUGGAGGUAGAAGUCUGUUUCUUGUCAACCAGAACCCUAACUGCUGCUGUAGCCCCUACCCUGUCAUCACUAGGAAGGUUGUGAACCAAUCUGCUCACCUGUAGGUCCUCCCCCAGACUGUGAACAUCCUUUCAAUUCUAAGGAAAGAAGAAGGACUCCCCCGCCUCCAAGAGCACGGAGUGGACAGGUUAUGAGCAAUGGAAAGAUAGUCGGUGUUGCGUCCACGUUUUGUGCAGAAAAAAAAAAAGCACAAGAACCAGAGCCUUCCUUAUUCUGGCUCUCCUGAAAGCCAGCUUUUGUGUGCACAUAUCUGCAUUUCCCCAGGGCAGGUGCCUAGGGGCUCAGCCACUGUGCGUCUUCUGAAUGCCCUAAGGAUGUCCACCAAUUAGGUUCCCAUCCUAGACUGCGGCCGGUGCCCCAUCGACCAGCCAGGCAACAGAUCUUCUGUGAUUGCCAGCCACGUUUUGUCGGGAAUUACGCCGCAUCUUUCCUGGGGCCCACGCAGGAGAAAAAUGAACGCUCAGAUGAUAGUCUCGCGCCCAACCCCGUGCCAGGAUUAAAGGCGGAGAACCCAGUCCUGCCCUCAAAACCGCAAACUCGAGCAGGCAGGAGAGGCCGUGGCCGGACCUUGCUGACGCAGGAGCAGAGUGCGGGCCUGGAGUCACGUGGGGGAGGCCGGUCACUCUCGUCCCCUCUCCUUGGAGAAAGCAAGUCAGGGGAGCAGCCUCGCUGUCAGUCUGCUGUUACCUCGCUCUGCAAGCUCUCUGAAGGCCUCCUGGUCACCCUGCCAGUGAAGGAGGGAUCCCGACCCAAAGCAGACGCACGGCGCUAACAGCAGACAGAGGAGACGGACGGCAGCUUCCAGCGGCCACACGCAUCACAGGCCAGCAGGAAGACCUGGCCAUGUGGGGCUCCUGGGGCGGCCCACGGGAGCAGCCAGCCAGCACGGGGUGAAGACUGUGAGGCUGAGGGCUGGGCGGGGGCAGCUGUCCAGCCAGGGGGCUAGCAUGUGGGGGCCUCCCUGCCGGGUGGUGGGCACACAUGUGUGCCAAGAGCAGGGAAGCCCAGAGCUGGGCCACUGCGGCCCAGAGAUGACAAGACAGCGCAGGAGUCUUUAGGUCUCCUGUCAUCGUGGCUUUUCGGCUAACCCCUGGAGGGUCAGCUGCCCUGGAGCUACGGUGACAGCCUUGCCCACCAGCCCGGUCUGGAAGGGGUCAUGGGUGAUAUCCCAAUGCUGGAGGGCCGGGAGGAACGUUUUCCCUCCCAGACACCUCCAGAGGCCACCCUGGGCCUGCCCAGGACACUGUUUUGCUCCAACGUUUAGAAUCCCCCCCUGACGGGACCUUUGGUUUUCUGGCAUUGCCCUGUGUUUAACCCUCUGGACUGGGUGGCCACAUGCAUUUCUCUAGAAUCCCUCUGUCCCCUACUGGCCGCCGUCCACCCUGUGUCAAAUCAACUCCCUGGGUCCCAGCUCAGGCAGCUCCCAUCCUCCCCAGCCCAGGGCUGGUGCUGCCUUCUUGCCCCACCCCUGCCUGGGCUUGUGGGCAGCUGUCCAGUGGAGUCCCUGCUCACCCCCCUCAGCUGGGGUCCCCGGGCUCCCCACCCGCACAGCCUGUCCUGAGUUUGUUCCCUCCCGGUGUGGCCAAGGAGCUCCGGACCAUAUGGGAACAGGGACCUGAGGACCCAUCCUGCUUGGACACAUUUGUCUUCAGUGACAGUAAGAUUCCUUCCUGCACAAGCCCGCACCACUGUGUG